GAACUUCAGUCAGGGACCACUGCAACAACGGAUAAGAGACCUCAGUAAAGAACUGAGCUCAACCCCAAAUAUAGCCAGAAUAAGUGGGGAUUUUGCCAAGGAGCUGACUCAGAAGUGAAGGUUGGCCAAUGGAAAAUUACUAAGAGGAGCCCAUACAGGUGGGGAAAUUCUUGUUAAUCUGACCUGACUUAACAGAAUCCUUGCUGGAGGCAAAUCAGAAUGCCCAGUGGUCAUCUGUGGGAGAUUUGAGACAGGAGAGGAAUUUGAUCAACUAUUGAGUGACCAUGAACUAUGAAUGCUUAGCCAAGAUGAUUAAUCUUGACUGCCAACUUGAGAGUAUUUAUAGUCACCAUGGAGAGUAGCUCCAGAAAAUAGGAAAUACAACCAUCUGCAGAGGAAAUACAACCAGCUGCCUCAAGCUUGUUGGUCAUAUCUUCACUGCCAUGAUGGACUAUACCCCCAAACUGUAAGAACGGAGGAUGCCAGUGAUCAGGCAGACACGGUGCUGGAGAAGUAGCUGAGAGUUCUACAUCUAGAUCCACAGGCAGCAGGAAGAGAGAGACAUUGGGACUCGCUUGAGCUCUUGGAACAUCGUAACCCACCCUCAGUGACAUACUUCCUCCAACAGGAAGUAUGAGGGACAUACUAUUCAAUGAGGUCAUACCCUCUAAUCCUUUCAAAUAGUGCCACUCCCUGAUAACUGAACAUUCAAAUAUAUGAGCCUAUAGGAGCCAUUCUUAUUUAAAAAGCCUGGCUCCCACUAAAUUUAUACAGACUGACCUUAAGACAAGGCCUGUCUUUAAGUAAUCCCAGCUCUUACUUUCUUCAUUCUCAUCUGAACCCCAACCACAGGUUCCCACAGUGUCAAUUGUGGCAGCAACACUAGCUUUUAGCUGUCAGUCCCUAUGAUCAACCUGCCACUUUGCCAACAGAAUUGUGGAGUUGGGGAGGGGCAAUGGAGGUAGCCAUGCAUCACAAGACCACACUUUAGUUCCCAGCUCUUUCCCCAUUUUCCAGGCAUUUAUUUAUACCUGUUAUGACCUUUAGCACCCUGCAAAUGUUAUUUCUGGUGACGUUGUCAAGUUUUAUGUGUUUUCCCAGACAGGAAUCACCGACAUGUUCCCUGGGCCCUGAGUCAGAAGCUCAAUAAAUGCAAUGUUUUGUGAAUUACCAAGUGGGCAAUGUGGAGGUCAGCAUUCUCAACCCUCUUUGCUAGUAUCUCUAUCAGUCUCAAUGAUCAAUGCUCCUCCUCUUCCCAGUCCUUCCUUUUUAACACCCCACAUGGUAUUUAUCAGAGUUUACUAUGCAAAAGGCUGUUCUGAGGACAUUGGCAAAUUGCAGACUCAUGGCCCCUCACGUCAUACAGAGAGUCUGGUUACAUUGAUUCUGGGUGCAAAUGCGUGACCGAGGGCCAGUCCUGGACCUUUGUCCUGUAGUGUAGGACUGCCUCUUGAGUUCCCAGGCCACAGCGGGCCUUUCAUUUCCUGCAGUCUAAACUAACUCGCCAGUUUGGUGUUAGAGACACACAUUUCCUUUACUGGUAGAGUUAAUGGGAAACAGGGACACAGCAACAUGCUGUGUGAGUCCAUUUGGGGCAGACAACAGAAGCUCUGAUAGUCACAAGUCAUUCUUUGCUCUUGUCCCUUAUUAACUUUGACAUUUGCAGGAAGCUCAAAUUCUGGUUUCCUGGUGGGUGGUUGUGUGUGGGGGGGCUCCCAUGCCUCUGCCUUACCUGAAGGUCCCCCCUUACCUGAGGGUUUAAUGUUCUGUUGAUGAUAUGAUAAUCACCGUGGCAGUAGGCUCAAUGCCACAGACAGGCAAUUAUCACUUCAGCCGAGAGAAAAUAAACAGCCACACAGAUGGUGGCUUGAAAUCUUUGCAGGGAUCUUAAUGUAAUGUUUACUUAAAAAAUUCCCAUGAGAAAAAAAAAAGAACUGAUUUUAGAUACAGAAAUCAUAAGACAGCAACAAGUGCUCACUCUAGGCCCUGAGCAAAUUUGGGGCACAUGUUCCCCAAAUCCUUUCUUCACAGGUCUAGAGUACCCUCUCCCAAUCUCCUCUGGCCACUUGAGUACAGCAUGUUGAACACUGUGUAGGUCCAUCCAUCUACUGGUCCUCUGUGUUUUUCCUCUUUCAACAAGGUCAACAGAUGUUUGUUUUUUGUUUUUUGUUUUUUUUCUUUUUUUAGAAUGUUGUCACAGGGUGGCACCAUCAUUCAGAGGAAAAAUCCUCCACAGCAAUUAAACACAGCGGAAAGGAGAGUAAAUGGACACACCUGUAAUUCUACCAUCCAGAGCAAACCACACC
ensembl:lncRNA